rnacentral:rRNA from 1 species
GUGUGACUGCGUACCUUUUGUAUAAUGGGUCAGCGACUUAUAUUCUGUAGCAAGGUUAACCGAAUAGGGGAGCCGAAGGGAAACCGAGUCUUAACUGGGCGUUAAGUUGCAGGGUAUAGACCCGAAACCCGGUGAUCUAGCCAUGGGCAGGUUGAAGGUUGGGUAACACUAACUGGAGGACCGAACCGACUAAUGUUGAAAAAUUAGCGGAUGACUUGUGGCUGGGGGUGAAAGGCCAAUCAAACCGGGAGAUAGCUGGUUCUCCCCGAAAGCUAUUUAGGUAGCGCCUCGUGAAUUCAUCUCCGGGGGUAGAGCACUGUUUCGGCAAGGGGGUCAUCCCGACUUACCAACCCGAUGCAAACUGCGAAUACCGGAGAAUGUUAUCACGGGAGACACACGGCGGGUGCUAACGUCCGUCGUGAAGAGGGAAACAACCCAGACCGCCAGCUAAGGUCCCAAAGUCAUGGUUAAGUGGGAAACGAUGUGGGAAGGCCCAGACAGCCAGGAUGUUGGCUUAGAAGCAGCCAUCAUUUAAAGAAAGCGUAAUAGCUCACUGGUCGAGUCGGCCUGCGCGGAAGAUGUAACGGGGCUAAACCAUGCACCGAAGCUGCGGCAGCGACGCUUAUGCGUUGUUGGGUAGGGGAGCGUUCUGUAAGCCUGCGAAGGUGUGCUGUGAGGCAUGCUGGAGGUAUCAGAAGUGCGAAUGCUGACAUAAGUAACGAUAAAGCGGGUGAAAAGCCCGCUCGCCGGAAGACCAAGGGUUCCUGUCCAACGUUAAUCGGGGCAGGGUGAGUCGACCCCUAAGGCGAGGCCGAAAGGCGUAGUCGAUGGGAAACAGGUUAAUAUUCCUGUACUUGGUGUUACUGCGAAGGGGGGACGGAGAAGGCUAUGUUGGCCGGGCGACGGUUGUCCCGGUUUAAGCGUGUAGGCUGGUUUUCCAGGCAAAUCCGGAAAAUCAAGGCUGAGGCGUGAUGACGAGGCACUACGGUGCUGAAGCAACAAAUGCCCUGCUUCCAGGAAAAGCCUCUAAGCAUCAGGUAACAUCAAAUCGUACCCCAAACCGACACAGGUGGUCAGGUAGAGAAUACCAAGGCGCUUGAGAGAACUCGGGUGAAGGAACUAGGCAAAAUGGUGCCGUAACUUCGGGAGAAGGCACGCUGAUAUGUAGGUGAAGUCCCUCGCGGAUGGAGCUGAAAUCAGUCGAAGAUACCAGCUGGCUGCAACUGUUUAUUAAAAACACAGCACUGUGCAAACACGAAAGUGGACGUAUACGGUGUGACGCCUGCCCGGUGCCGGAAGGUUAAUUGAUGGGGUUAGCGCAAGCGAAGCUCUUGAUCGAAGCCCCGGUAAACGGCGGCCGUAACUAUAACGGUCCUAAGGUAGCGAAAUUCCUUGUCGGGUAAGUUCCGACCUGCACGAAUGGCGUAAUGAUGGCCAGGCUGUCUCCACCCGAGACUCAGUGAAAUUGAACUCGCUGUGAAGAUGCAGUGUACCCGCGGCAAGACGGAAAGACCCCGUGAACCUUUACUAUAGCUUGACACUGAACAUUGAGCCUUGAUGUGUAGGAUAGGUGGGAGGCUUUGAAGUGUGGACGCCAGUCUGCAUGGAGCCGACCUUGAAAUACCACCCUUUAAUGUUUGAUGUUCUAACGUGGACCCGUAAUCCGGGUUGCGGACAGUGUCUGGUGGGUAGUUUGACUGGGGCGGUCUCCUCCUAAAGAGUAACGGAGGAGCACGAAGGUUGGCUAAUCCUGGUCGGACAUCAGGAGGUUAGUGCAAUGGCAUAAGCCAGCUUGACUGCGAGCGUGACGGCGCGAGCAGGUGCGAAAGCAGGUCAUAGUGAUCCGGUGGUUCUGAAUGGAAGGGCCAUCGCUCAACGGAUAAAAGGUACUCCGGGGAUAACAGGCUGAUACCGCCCAAGAGUUCAUAUCGACGGCGGUGUUUGGCACCUCGAUGUCGGCUCAUCACAUCCUGGGGCUGAAGUAGGUCCCAAGGGUAUGGCUGUUCGCCAUUUAAAGUGGUACGCGAGCUGGGUUUAGAACGUCGUGAGACAGUUCGGUCCCUAUCUGCCGUGGGCGCUGGAGAA